GCAAUCUACCUUUCACAGAGGGAUAGCCCAGAGAAAUUUGGAUUAAUACCUCAUAGUAUUACGAAGUGGCAUCAUUUUGUAAUUAAAGUUUCAACGGUGAAAGAUGAGCAUGCGUCCCAUUAGCUAGAUGGUAAGGUAACGGCUUACCAUGGCUACGAUGGGUAGGGGUCCUGAGAGGGAGAUCC
rnacentral:rRNA from 1 species